rnacentral:rRNA from 1 species
GAUGAACGCUGGCGGCGUGCCUAAUACAUGCAAGUCGAGCGAACAGACGAGGAGCUUGCUCCUCUGACGUUAGCGGCGGACGGGUGAGUAACACGUGGAUAACCUACCUAUAAGACUGGGAUAACUUCGGGAAACCGGAGCUAAUACCGGAUAAUAUAUUGAACCGCAUGGUUCAAUAGUGAAAGACGGUUUUGCUGUCACUUAUAGAUGGAUCCGCGCCGCAUUAGCUAGUUGGUAAGGUAACGGCUUACCAAGGCGACGAUGCGUAGCCGACCUGAGAGGGUGAUCGGCCACACUGGAACUGAGACACGGUCCAGACUCCUACGGGAGGCAGCAGUAGGGAAUCUUCCGCAAGAGGCGAAAGCCUGACGGAGCAACGCCGCGUGAGUGAUGAAGGUCGUCGGAUCGUAAAACUCUGUUAUUAGGGAAGAACAAAUGUGUAAGUAACUAUGCACGUCUUGACGGUACCUAAUCAGAAAGCCACGGCUAACUACGUGC